UGGCUCACAACACAUAAAAACAAAAAAACAAAACGAAAAAAAAUCGAGAGUCAAAAAACCUAAAAAAAAAUCUUCUUCUUCAUGAUAAAAGCAGUGGCUGUUGCUGCUGAUUCAGAUCGAGAAAUAGGCAGAGAUUGAGAGAUGAAAGCGACAGAUUAAGAGUUAAUCAGAAAUUCUGAACAUCUCGAUGGUGUUCGAUUAAAGAGUUGAUGGUCUUAUGGAUGAUGUUUCGAUCGGUGUUUGGUGAUUUAGGGUUUAAGAAGAAAUUGCAGAUGAACAGGAAUCCGAGCUGAAAUUGAUAUGGGUUUGUCAAGAUAAGGGUUAUUGAGAACUGAGAUUGAUGAUUAAGUUAGGAGAAUUGAACAAAUUCAGAAACUAGGGUUUGGUUUCCUAGCUCUAAUCUUAUUCGUUUCCUAACUCUAAUCUUCAAGAGCAUCAUCCUUCUGAGAUUUUCUAUCGGUUUCUUUUUAAUUUUAUUUAUACUUCAGGUAUUUGCUAUAUUUUUAGGUUUUCUUUUUGAUUCUCUCUUUAUACUGUUCUUAUUGUUGAUUUUUUUUCUGUUAAUAAUUUUUUGUCCAGUUUAUUUACAGAUGUGAUUUUGGCUGAAGCUUUAUUUACAUGAUUGUUAAGUCUAACCCUUUUUUCUGUUCCUGCUUCUUCCCCAUUCUCAACUAUAGAGAAACUGUAGCAUUCCUAUAAAAAGUUUUGAUUUUCAUAUGACUCUCGAAAGAGCUAUAAGGGUAAACCAAGGCCAAUUGAAUACCAAUUGACUCUAUAGUUCCAAUUAAAGUUUCAGCAAUUUUCCAACAUGUAAAUUUCUCGAGUUUCAGGUAGUUUUUUAGAAAUUUAUUUUGCUUAGGGUUUUUGAAUCUGAUUACUUUUAUAUGGUUUAGUGUUUCGUGCUUUAUCUUUUAUUUUUGCACUGAUUGUUCUUUUCUUUUUUUUUCGUUGAAUCUGUAGGUGAUGCAAUCAAGUGUGAUUUGGGGUUUUAAUGGAUUUAACUCCUACAACAACAUAUACUUCAAUGGUUGAUAUUGCCUUUUCUAUGUCCAAUAUUGUGCCUUCGAUUGUUUAGGAUGUACUCAUCUUGAAAAGGGUCGACCAACCAUGGACUAGAGUCUGGAUCAAAAGGAUGAAAAUGAUUUUGAGUACUUGGUACUCUUAUUCGACAGGUACGUUGCAAUAAUCGGAGCAUAAAGUUAAGAGGUAAAAUAAUGCCAGUGCUAGAGAUUGGGUUGCUGAUGCCAGACAGUCACUCUGAAGGCGACCUUUUUUUCUUCCACUUCUUCAAAGAGGUCUGCAGAGUUGUGUAUGCUUGGACUUACUAUUGGAGCAGCACUAGGUACUGAGUGAGAAUACAAGUCCCUUAGAUAUGUCAAGACCAGCACUAGGGAAAAUGUCAAGACCAGCAAGGAGGGGAGCAAUAUUGAACCUCAAUUCGCAACUGUCAAGUGAUGGCUUUGUUUUCCUUCAGUUUGGUCUUUGCAGCUAUAGUAAGCCCCUGUCCAGAUGCUUUGGUCAUGCUACCACCUGUUGCUCCAGGUGCCCAAGCCUGUUAGAUACUGGAGUGUUCCAUAUAUUAUAGCGUUGAAGUAUAAGUGUUGGGCAUGUAGAAGAGUCCAGGGAGAACUAUGACAUUCAAGCAGAUGUGUUUCUUUUCAAUCUCUUAAAGAAGAUAAAGGUGUAUCUUAAGUACUACAUCAAUGACAAUGGUUACACUACGAAGGUAAUCCGGGUUGCUUUUUCUGACAACCAGGGUGGGCUGUCAUGUUAAGCAUUCCGUCAGUGCAUUUGAAUCCUGCCAAGCACAAAUCUAGAUAGCAAAUUAGCAAAUACGAGUUUGAGAUUCAUUAACAAGAUUAUAUUCUUUUUCAAUAUGUAUAAUGUUCAGUCUGUGAUGGUGUAAUUGAAUAUUCAAGUUGUUUUUAGAUUUGUUUGAAUUUGCACAUAUCUAUUCCCUCGACCUGAUGUGGUAAGGGUAUUUUUGCAUUUAUGUUGUUUGUGAUUACCGGUAGGAAUGUAUCUAAUGCAAGGUGUCUAAUUAUUAGAUGGACAUGUUCUUAUGAUUUACAUUAUAACUAAUGUUUAAGUGGAUGU